GGAGGGUGCUAGCGUUGUUCGGAAUCACUGGGCGUAAAGGGCGCGUAGGCGGCGCAGCGUGUCGGCUGGUGAAAGCCCGGGGCUCAACCCCGGAGGUGCGGCCGAAACUGCUGUGCUGGAGGCCGGAAGAGGAGGGUGGAAUACCCAGUGUAGAGGUGAAAUUCGUAGAUAUUGGGUGGAACACCGGUGGCGAAAGCGGCUCUCUGGUCCGGACCUGACGCUGAGGCGCGAAAGCGUGGGGAGCAAACAGGAUUAGAUACCCUGGUAGUCCACGCCCUAAACGAUGCGGGCUAGACGUUGGGGGGCCUGCCCCUCGGUGUCGCAGCAAACGCGGUAAGCCCGCCGCCUGGGGAGUACGGCCGCAAGGUUAAA
rnacentral:rRNA from 1 species